rnacentral:tRNA from 1 species
CAAAAAGUAGCUUACACCACAAAGCAUCUGGCUUACAACCAGAAGACGCUGUCAUACACAACCUUUUUGA